AUCAUGGAGAGUUUGAUCCUGGCUCAGAACGAACGCUGGCGGCGCGUCUUAAGCAUGCAAGUCGGGCGGCAGUGCAGAGCAAUCUGCGCGAGAGCGGCGGACUGGUGAGUAACGCGUGGGUGA
rnacentral:rRNA from 1 species